GUUUUGCAGCAUCUCCAUCUUUUCAAAAACCCAAACCUUCACCUUUCUUCUACAUCUUUCUUCUCUCAUUUCUUUUUUCUUUUGAGGAACUUGUUUCCCAUAUUAACCACGGUAACCGAAAAAUACCACCUCCAAAAUAUGCACAAGAAACAAACUUCACCUUUAACCAAACAAACAAACUUCAUUUCCGAUCUAACUCAUUCUCAACUGGCGGUCAACAACCACCGGCACAAACUCAACAAUCACCACCUUCAGUUCAUCCGAAACUCAUUCAUAACCGUACUCACCAAUCACCAUCACAGUAGCUCACAACCAUCCCUCUCCAUUUCACCGCUCUUGAGACACAGUUCCGAUCCACAUAUCUCUUACCGAUCCGAUUUUUGACGUUGACGGAAUUGGUUUCAAAAGUGUGUUUUUGGUUACUGCACAACCUUAUAUUUUUAGCAACGGAUAUCAGAUACGGAUGAAUGAGAUGCCUUGUCCGCAUUGCAGUCUUGGUUAUAUUGUUCCCGAAUGGAUUGAGGAGAAGCCAACGCUUGCAGACAUAAAGAAGAUAUAUGGGAAAAAUUCUCUUCCAAUUACAACGAUCAUCUUCUGAAGCCGAACAAAGAGAACCCUUGCUGAGUUUGACGAAUAUACAAAUGACUAAUGAGAGGAGACAUUCUUUCCUAAGUCAAACUUUUUCAAUUAUUUUCUUAUCCUAUUUGUCAUUUGUUCUGUUGACAUCAUCAUAUCAAUUUUCUUGCAGCCAGGGCAAAUAUCGAAAGAAAAUGGUUUCUCAAUCAUCCGAGUUUUCUACUUAAGGAAAUAGAAUAUCAGGAAACAAAUCAAAUACUACGACGGAACCGCCUGCAAUGCUUAUGCCAAGCUUAGUAUUUAAAUUACUUGUAACAUGGCAUUGGAGUUUGCUUAUAAUCAAGUGAUAUUUUAUUAGUUUUCUGUUGCAGUGGAAGCUUGUCCUUUGGAAGUCUAUUGUUCAAUGCAUGUCCAGAACGGGUCUGCUGCGAUAAUUUCCUGAACGAAUCUGCUGCGUGCUUAAGCUGUCCACCACAUUCUUGUACCAAGAUUUUAUUUUAUUGGACACAUCUGAUGCGGUUGCAGUUAAUGAGUAUAUGAAUGGGAAAAAGCUGGUACGGCAUAUAAUGGUACUUACAGAGCAACCUCAACUCGUAAAGGCUUUAUUUCUCCUAGACGUUCUGGUGGAAUUGCUCAUAAAUCGGCUGCGAAGAGUCAAUACCGUGUUCUGAUUAUCAAUUCUCUGUGGGAUUUUCCCGGUUAUAUGGCAGAAGUUGCUGUUCAUGUCGAGAAUUAGAGGGGGCAUAGUUUUGUUAGUGUAGUAUCCUUGGGAGCGGUCAGUGAUAUGGUUUGUUUUGAAGUGGCUGCAUCUCGGCAUUGGCGUUGGAUUUAUUGCGGAGUUCUUUUCAGUUAAGGUCUUUUGUGCAUGUGGUGGAUUCGAGCUUGGUUCUUUGCUUGAGGCGGUUCUUAUCAAACUUUCCUAGUCUCAUCUUCAAAUUCCAAUGAAAAUUUUGUAUCCUUAGAUCCUCUAGUAUUGCACAUAUCUGUAGGCCAAUUCCAAUUGUCACAA